rnacentral:snoRNA from 1 species
AUCCUUUUGUAGUUUAUGAGCAUGAUGAUUGGGUGUUCACACACGGGUGUGAGAUAUGCCACCCUCUUGGGUGUUCACACACGGGUGUGAGAUGUGCCACCCUCAAACCUUGUUAUGACUUCGGCAUAUUACCCAACUGACC